AUGAGAACAACAUCCUUGCAAAAUCAUUCAGAAUGGCAAGAGAUAGAUUCGAAGAAGAAGACUACCACGAUUACACUCUUCGAAUCUUGGGAAAAGGAACCGAACACACAACCUUCCAUCUGCAUUAGACGUUGCAGCAUUAGUUGUAAGAGACCCAACUGGAGAGAGCGAAGGACGAGACAUCAUUGUCGAGUACAAAAAUAUGGAACCUCACAGAAUAUCGGAUAUCCAUCCGAAAUUAAUGUCAAUGCAAUACCCGUAAUUGUUUCCAUACGAAGAAGACGGAUUCAAGCUUGA
rnacentral:rRNA from 1 species